CUGGCAGCGAGCGAAAGAAUCGCAAAGUAGAAGGGGAAAAAUGGAUAUCUCCGAAUUGCGUCAUCUCAUACAACCUGUAUGCUGAUACUCAGAAAAGGUCUGUUUGCUUACACAAUUUGUGAAAUUCAUUUUAAAAUACUGUGCAACGAAAAAUGUUUCAAUAAUCUGUUAAUAGUUACUACUUUUCUUUUUUUUCUUGUUUUUCUCUCGCGGUGAACGGUACAGCGAGACGGAAUGGUGACGGCUUUAGAGAGGGAGGCGAUAGGCGCCAAAUAAAUGAUGAAUAAUGUGAGAAACAGGCGUGCUCCGAAGAGACACUCGUAAAGCUGUGGCGUAACUCCCGAAACCUCUCACACAGCUCAUUCGCACACACAGGCGUACUCACACAGACGCAAUCACUGGGCACUAGUAGUGACCUAGGCCACACACACAGAUUAACACGCAGCGUAACUAUACGAUGGUCUGCACGGUCUGCACCGAGUAUGCACGCGACUUUUUAUCCCGGGUGCAUACACACGAUGUAGAAGCUCCCGCGUCCGGUUACUUCCAGCCUCGUGCUCAGACUAACUUCUUCCGCCGGCGCCAGUAUUCCAAGAUGGCUCCUUCGGGAAGCCUCUAUACCCGCGUGAUUUUUUUAUUUUUUUUUUAUUGAGAAUGUACAACAACGUACAUAGAGGUAGAAAAAAAAAGUAGAACAGCUUUAGGACGUCUGUCCCAUCUAUAGCUGAGAGUACGUAACUUUGGUUUGCGCGGGCUCUCGUGUAUAGACGCGCGUCUCCACAUUUCAUGGACGUCGGUCCUUAAAUUAUGACUUACUACUAAAACUAAAAACUAAGCUAUAUAUUGUAUUAAACUUUAUAAUAAAACAUAAGACAAAGUAACAGUUUUUUCACUGAUGUGAAAGAAGUUAGCGAG